rnacentral:rRNA from 1 species
UACGUAGGGUGCAAGCGUUGUCCGGAAUUAUUGGGCGUAAAGAGCUCGUAGGCGGUGUGUCACGUCGGCCGUGAAAACCUGCAGCUUAACUGUGGGCUUGCGGUCGAUACGGGCAUCACUGGAGUUCGGCAGGGGAGACUGGAAUUCCUGGUGUAGCGGUGAAAUGCGCAGAUAUCAGGAGGAACACCGGUGGCGAAGGCGGGUCUCUGGGCCGAUACUGACGCUGAGGAGCGAAAGCGUGGGGAGCGAACAGG